rnacentral:tRNA from 1 species
GGAGAGGUGGCCGAGCGGUUUAAGGCGCACGCUUGGAAAGCGUGUGUAGGCUUAUACCCUACCGAGGGUUCGAAUCCCUCCCUCUCCU